AUUGAACGCUGGCGGCAUGCCUUACACAUGCAAGUCGAACGGUAACAGGUCUUCGGAUGCUGACGAGUGGCGAACGGGUGAGUAAUACAUCGGAACGUGCCCGAUCGUGGGGGAUAACGAGGCGAAAGCUUUGCUAAUACCGCAUACGAUCUACGGAUGAAAGCGGGGGAUCUUCGGACCUCGCGCGGACGGAGCGGCCGAUGGCAGAUUAGGUAGUUGGUGGGAUAAAAGCUUACCAAGCCGACGAUCUGUAGCUGGGCUGAGAGGAUGAUCAGCCACACUGGGACUGAGACACGGCCCAGACUCCUACGGGAGGCAGCAGUGGGGAAUUUUGGACGAUGGGCGAAAGCCUGAUCCAGCCAUGCCGCGUGCAGGAUGAAGGCCUUCGGGUUGUAAACUGCUUUUGUACGGAACGAAAAGCCUCUUUCUAAUAAAGAGGGGUCAUGACGGUACCGGAAGAAUAAGCACCGGCUAACUACGUG
rnacentral:rRNA from 1 species